rnacentral:rRNA from 1 species
AAACUAACAAGGAUUCCCCUAGUAACGGCGAGUGAACCGGGAAGAGCUCAAAUUUGAAAUCUGGCGUCCUCAGGGCGUCCGAGUUGUAAUCUAUAGAGGCGUUUUCCGUGCCGGACCGUGUCCAAGUUCCUUGGAACAGGAUAUCAAAGAGGGUGACAAUCCCGUACUUGACACGACGACCGGUGCUCUGUGAUACGUCUUCUACGAGUCGAGUUGUUUGGGAAUGCAGCUCAAAAUGGGUGGUGAGUUCCAUCUAAAGCUAAAUAUUGGCGAGAGACCGAUAGCGAACAAGUACCGUGAGGGAAAGAUGAAAAGCACUUUGGAAAGAGAGUUAAACAGUACGUGAAAUUGUUGAAAGGGAAACGAUUGAAGUCAGUCGUGACCGAGAGGCUCAGCCGGUUCUGCCGGUGUAUUCCCCUCGGUCGGGUCAACAUCAGUUUUGUCCGGUGGAUAAGGGCGGUAGGAAGGUGGCACCCUCGGGUGUGUUAUAGCCUGCCGUCGCAUACAUCGGGUGAGACUGAGGAACGCAGCUCGCCUUUAUGGCCGGGG